ACUGUACUUAGAGGCAUUGCAGGUGUGGCAGCUAUGUCACAUGGGCAUCAGUAGGCAGAGAGAAGAAAUAGGCUGUCUUUGCUCAGUGUUCUCAUGUAUGACAUCUGAAUGGUGAGUAACCUAACAUU